GCAGAAGCUUCAACUCGCGCUGCCACAGAGGCCGUGACCCAAUAUAUCGCCACGAUGGGAGCAAAUGCUCCCAACGCGAUACCAGCACCUGCUCCACAUGUGGAGUCACCUAUGGCACCACCGCCAUCGACUCCCUGGGGGCUUACAUCUGCCCCCAAAAUAUUUCGGUCGCCAAGGGUUAUCGACUCCCUGGGGGCUUACAUCUGCCCCCAAAAUAUUUCGCUCGCCAAGGGUUAUCGACUCCCUGGGGGCUUACAUCUGCCCCCAAAAUAUUUCGCUCGCCAAGGGUUAUCGACUCCCUGGG
rnacentral:lncRNA from 1 species